GUUAUUGCCUGUUAUGUCUUCAAAUAUUUCUUCUGCCCCAUUGUCUGUCUCUCUCCUCGCCUUCUGGGAAUCCAAAUGUACAGAUAAAGAUGAAACAUCCAAUUGCAGAUAUGAAUGACCUAAUUCAAUGGAUGAGUCUGGAAGAGGACCAAGUUCAUGGGAAAGAUCAAAAAUUCAGUUUUGAAGAUGUUGAUGAGAAGAUGAGACAAAACCAUGUAUAGAUGCGGAUGAGCUAAUUAAAUAUAUGAGUCUGGAGCUGAAAGGAAAUGCCUUGACAAGAGAAGUAAAUUUGAGGACCAUCAGUAUACAGAUGUACUUGAAUCCAUCUAUGUAAAUGCAAUCACCCUGGGAGGAAAUUUAGAGUGAGAACAGGACUGCGUGGAAAGACAUUAAAGAAGUUAAAGAAAGAAGAACUAACAAAGGCAGGAGAGAAGAAGAGGACGGAGAGGUAGGAGAGAAACCAGUAAUGUGCGAUGGCAUAGAAAUUAAGAGGUAGAUUUGUCAGUGAUUCUUAAUCACUGUAGCUCUUGGAUACAUCUUCCUGACUCAGGCUGACUUCACAUGCAGUGGAAGAUAUUCACAGGAGGAACAAGUCUGAAUGCUGACCAGAAAAUUUGCCAUACUGGAAGUUUCCAAGAUUGAAGAAGGAGGGAGAGAGGGCUAUGGAAGUCACAGGUUGGAGGUGGUGCCCAGAGCCUGGAAUAAACAUUUACCCUAGUGUUCAUCAGAGAGUGAAUGAGGCCUGGGAAUCCAAGACUUGCCAAAGAUUAUUCUGCCUGGAACAGGUCAAAAUACAGCAAAGGAUAUGAAGGGACACUACAAGAUGGGAAAAUGGGUGCCUCAUUGUUAACUGAUGUGGACAGAUGAUGGGUAACCACAUAAUCUUCUCUACGUCAUUUUUGAUACUACCAAAAAUUCUGGGUUCUUGGCAUCAUAGCAAAACUCAGAUGUAGAGAGAAGCCCCACAAUUAGAUGAAGUAAAAUUUUCCUACUUGAAGUUGAAUUUCACUGAAGUGAAAUCAGGUCACAGAGUCUAAAAUUAAGUUGAUCUAGGAAAACUGAAAAAAAGAGUAUUUAUUCCACAGUUGAAGUGUAGAAAGGAAUUAAUCUAUGCUAUAAUAGUAAUAGUUAAAAUUUAUUGAACUUUUACUAUAUGACAAGAACUUUGAUAAUAUGUUUAUUUGCAUUGACUAGUUCAUUUAAUUCUGACAGAACUUUUUAAUAUACUUAUACAUCACUUAACAAUGAAGACACAUUCUUAGAAAUGCACUUUUAGGUAAUUGUGCCCUUGUGUGAACAUCAUAGAGUGUACAUACACAAACCUAGAUGAUAUUGAUAGCAACAAGAAACAGACAAGGCAGACAUGGAUGGGUCCCUGGUGAAACUCAACCUUCAAGCCAAGAACAGUCUAAAGCCUGAAAACCAAGCAACAGUUACAGAUAGAAUUCACGGACCAGAAUGAGAACUUCCAUUUCCAUCUUACCUACUCUCUCUCUAUUGGUUCUUUCUGAAUGAUGCCUUUUAGCCAAUCAAAUGCUCCCUUUUCCAAGCCCACCCAUAAAUCAAUCAGCAUGCGUUCCCCCCAUUCUAAGUUCAUAAAACCCUGGAUUCAGCCUCAUAGACGGCUACGCUCUUUGGGGUCCCCUCUUGCUGUUGAGAGCUUUUCUUUCAUUCAGUAAAUUCUACUCUGCCUUACCCUGCCUCCAGUGUCCACGUACCUUAUUACUCUUGGCCACGGGACAAGAACCCAUAACUCACUGAACUAUGGGAGCAAAAGAGCUGUAACAUUCCUGUUCACUGAGCCGUGGGCAGGAAGAGUAAAAGAGCUG
rnacentral:lncRNA from 1 species